rnacentral:rRNA from 1 species
GACGAACGCUGGCGGCGUGCUUAACACAUGCAAGUCGAACGGAAAGGCCCUGCUUUUGUGGGGUGCUCGAGUGGCGAACGGGUGAGUAACACGUGAGUAACCUGCCCUUGACUUUGGGAUAACUUCAGGAAACUGGGGCUAAUACCGGAUAGGAGCUCCUGCUGCAUGGUGGGGGUUGGAAAGUUUCGGCGGUUGGGGAUGGACUCGCGGCUUAUCAGCUUGUUGGUGGGGUAGUGGCUUACCAAGGCUUUGACGGGUAGCCGGCCUGAGAGGGUGACCGGCCACAUUGGGACUGAGAUACGGCCCAGACUCCUACGGGAGGCAGCAGUGGGAAAUAUUGCACAAUGGGCGGAAGCCUGAUGCAGCAACGCCGCGUGCGGGAUGACGGCCUUCGGGUUGUAAACCGCUUUCGCCUGUGACGAAGCGUGAGUGACGGUAAUGGGUAAAGAAGCACCGGCUAACUACGUGCCAGCAGCCGCGGUGAUACGUAGGGUGCGAGCGUUGUCCGGAUUUAUUGGGCGUAAAGGGCUCGUAGGUGGUUGAUCGCGUCGGAAGUGUAAUCUUGGGGCUUAACCCUGAGCGUGCUUUCGAUACGGGUUGACUUGAGGAAGGUAGGGGAGAAUGGAAUUCCUGGUGGAGCGGUGGAAUGCGCAGAUAUCAGGAGGAACACCAGUGGCGAAGGCGGUUCUCUGGGCCUUUCCUGACGCUGAGGAGCGAAGGCGUGGGGAGCGAACAGGCUUAGAUACCCUGGUAGUCCACGCUGUAAACGGUGGGUACUAGGUGUGGGGUCCAUUCCACGGGUUCCGUGCCGUAGCUAACGCUUUAAGUACCCCGCCUGGGGAGUACGGCCGCAAGGCUAAAACUCAAAGGAAUUGACGGGGCCCCGCACAAGCGGCGGAGCAUGCGGAUUAAUUCGAUGCAACGCGUAGAACCUUACCUGGGUUUGACAUGGAUCGGGAGUGCUCAGAGAUGGGUGUGCCUCUUUUGGGGUCGGUUCACAGGUGGUGCAUGGCUGUCGUCAGCUCGUGUCGUGAGAUGUUGGGUUAAGUCCCGCAACGAGCGCAACCCUUGUUCACUGUUGCCAGCACGUUAUGGUGGGGACUCAGUGGAGACCGCCGGGGUCAACUCGGAGGAAGGUGGGGAUGACGUCAAGUCAUCAUGCCCCUUAUGUCCAGGGCUUCACGCAUGCUACAAUGGCUGGUACAGAGAGUGGCGAGCCUGUGAGGGUGAGCGAAUCUCGGAAAGCCGGUCUCAGUUCGGAUUGGGGUCUGCAACUCGACCUCAUGAAGUCGGAGUCGCUAGUAAUCGCAGAUCAGCAACGCUGCGGUGAAUACGUUCCCGGGGCU